rnacentral:rRNA from 1 species
UAACGCGUGAGUAGCCUGCCUUACACAAGGGGAUAGCCUCUGGAAACGGAGAAUAAUACCCUAUGAAACUAUCUUAUCGCAUGAAAAGAUAGUCAAAGUGUUUUAGCGGUGUAAGAUGGACUUGCGUCUGAUUAGCUAGUUGGUGAGAUAACAGCCCACCAAGGCAACGAUCAGUAGCCGGCUUGAGAGAGUGUACGGCCACAUUGGGACUGAGACACGGCCCAG